UUACACGAUCUAAGACAGAAGGAGAGCGAUCAGGAGAGGAUAGAUAGAUCAGGAUGUUAUCAGCAUACAGGUGGUAUUGAAAGCCAAAUGAUGAGAUUAGUUUGCCAAGUGAGCAGGUGUAGAGAGAGAACAGAAGGGGUCCUAGAACUGAGCCUUGGGGUACCCCCACUGAGAGGGGAGGGGAAGAGAAGUGAACCAGGAGAGAGCAGUGUCACGGAGACCAAGAGCUUGAAGAGUUUGAAGGAGAAGAGGGUGGU